rnacentral:rRNA from 1 species
AGCGUUAAUCGGAAUUACUGGGCGUAAAGCGUGCGCAGGCGGUUAGAUAAGACAGAUGCGAAAUCCCCGGGCUCAACCUGGGAAUGGCGCCUGAGACUGCACAACUGGAGUGCGGUAGAGGGGGAUGGAAUUCCGCGUGUAGCAGUGAAAUGCGUAGAUAUGCGGAGGAACACCGAUGGCGAAGGCAGUCCCCUGGGACCUGCACUGACGCUCAUGCGCGAAAGCGUGGGGAGCAAACAGGAUUAGAUACCCUGGUAGUCAAGGGCG